rnacentral:rRNA from 1 species
GACGAACGCUGGCGGCGUGCUUAACACAUGCAAGUCGAACGAUGAAGCGGUGCUUGCACCGUGGAUUAGUGGCGAACGGGUGAGUAAUACGUGAGUGACCUACCUUUGACUCUGGGAUAAGCCUGGGAAACUGGGUCUAAUACCGGAUACGACCAAUCUCUGCAUGGGGUGUUGGUGGAAAGCGUUAUGGAGUGGUUUUAGAUGGGCUCACGGCCUAUCAGCUUGUUGGUGAGGUAAUGGCUUACCAAGGCGACGACGGGUAGCCGGCCUGAGAGGGUGACCGGCCACACUGGGACUGAGACACGGCCCAGACUCCUACGGGAGGCAGCAGUGGGGAAUAUUGCACAAUGGGCGCAAGCCUGAUGCAGCGACGCCGCGUGAGGGAUGACGGCCUUCGGGUUGUAAACCUCUGUUAGCAUCGAAGAAGCGAAAGUGACGGUAGGUGCAGAGAAAGCGCCGGCUAACUACGUGCCAGCAGCCGCGGUAAUACGUAGGGCGCGAGCGUUGUCCGGAAUUAUUGGGCGUAAAGAGCUUGUAGGCGGUUGGUCGCGUCUGCUGUGAAAGGCCGGGGGCUUAACUCCGGUUUUGCAGUGGGUACGGGCUAACUAGAGUGCAGUAGGGGAGACUGGAAUUCCUGGUGUAGCGGUGGAAUGCACAGAUAUCAGGAGGAACACCGAUGGCGAAGGCAGGUCUCUGGGCUGUAACUGACGCUGAGAAGCGAAAGCAUGGGGAGCGAACAGGAUUAGAUACCCUGGUAGUCCAUGCCGUAAACGUUGGGCACUAGGUGUGGGGGACAUUCCACGUUUUCCGCGCCGUAGCUAACGCAUUAAGUGCCCCGCCUGGGGAGUACGGCCGCAAGGCUAAAACUCAAAGGAAUUGACGGGGGCCCGCACAAGCGGCGGAGCAUGCGGAUUAAUUCGAUGCAACGCGAAGAACCUUACCAAGGCUUGACAUGCAUUAGAUCGCGUCAGAGAUGGCGUUUCCCUUCGGGGCUGGUGUACAGGUGGUGCAUGGUUGUCGUCAGCUCGUGUCGUGAGAUGUUGGGUUAAGUCCCGCAACGAGCGCAACCCUCGUUCUAUGUUGCCAGCGGUUCGGCCGGGGACUCAUAGGAGACUGCCGGGGUCAACUCGGAGGAAGGUGGGGAUGACGUCAAAUCAUCAUGCCCCUUAUGUCUUGGGCUUCACGCAUGCUACAAUGGCCGGUACAGAGGGUUGCGAUACUGUGAGGUGGAGCUAAUCCCUUAAAGCCGGUCUCAGUUCGGAUUGGGGUCUGCAACUCGACCCCAUGAAGUCGGAGUCGCUAGUAAUCGCGGAUCAGCAACGCUGCGGUGAAUACGUUCCCGGGCCU